rnacentral:rRNA from 1 species
AGAGUUUGAUCAUGGCUCAGGACGAACGCUGCGCGUGCUAACACAUGCAAGUCGAACGGUCCGUCACUUAAUUUACUGGCAGUUUACUGAGAAGUGAUUAAGUGCCGGAUAGUGGCGAACGGGUGAGUAACGCGUGGGUAACCUGCCUUUAAGACCGGGACAACAGCUGGAAACGGUUGCUAAUACCGGAUGGAUUUAGAAGAUGGCAUCAUUUUCGGAAUAAAGCCGGCCUCUUAAUAUGCUGGCGCUUAAAGAUGGACCCGCGUCUGGUUAGCUAGUUGGUGGGGUAACGGCCUACCAAGGCAACGAUCGGUAGCCGGCCUGAGAGGGUGAACGGCCACACUGGGACUGAGACACGGCCCAGACUCCUACGGGAGGCAGCAGUGGGGAAUCUUCCGCAAUGGACGAAAGUCUGACGGAGCAACGCCGCGUGUAUGAAGAAGGCCUUCGGGUUGUAAAAUACUGUUGUUAGGGAAGAACUUUCAUUAUGUAAAUAAUGUAAUGAAUUGACGGUACCUAACGAGGAAGCCCCGGCUAACUACGUGCCAGCAGCCGCGGUAAUACGUAGGGGGCAAGCGUUGUCCGGAAUUAUUGGGCGUAAAGGGCGCGUAGGCGGCAAAUCAAGUCUGAUGUGAAAGUGCGGGGCUUAACUCCGUAAAGCAUUGGAAACUGGUUAGCUUGAGUACAGGAGAGGAAAGUGGAAUUCCACGUGUAGCGGUGAAAUGCGUAGAGAUGUGGAGGAACACCAGUGGCGAAGGCGACUUUCUGGGCUGUAACUGACGCUGAGGCGCGAAAGCGUGGGUAGCGAACAGGAUUAGAUACCCUGGUAGUCCACGCCGUAAACGAUGAGUGCUAGGUGUAGAGGGUAUCGACCCCUUCUGUGCCGCAGUUAACACAAUAAGCACUCCGCCUGGGGACUACGGCCGCAAGGCUAAAACUCAAAGGAAUUGACGG